rnacentral:rRNA from 1 species
UGGGGAAUAUUGGACAAUGGGGGCAACCCUGAUCCAGCAAUGCCGCGUGUGUGAAGAAGGUCUUCGGAUUGUAAAGCACUUUCGACGGGGACGAUGAUGACGGUACCCGUAGAAGAAGCCCCGGCUAACUUCGUGCCAGCAGCCGCGGUAAUACGAAGGGGGCUAGCGUUGCUCGGAAUGACUGGGCGUAAAGGGCGUGUAGGCGGUUUACACAGUCAGAUGUGAAAUCCCCGGGCUUAACCUGGGAGCUGCAUUUGAUACGUGUAGACUAGAGUGUGAGAGAGGGUUGUGGAAUUCCCAGUGUAGAGGUGAAAUUCGUAGA